UACAGGGGGGGCAAGCGUUGUUCGGAAUUACUGAGCGUAAAGGGCGCGUAGGCGGCCUUCUAAGUCGAACGUGAAAUCCCCGGGCUCAACCCGGGAACUGCGUCCGAUACUGGAAGGCUUGAAUCCGGGAGAGGGAUGCGGAAUUCCAGGUGUAGCGGUGAAAUGCGUAGAUAUCUGGAGGAACACCGGUGGCGAAGGCGGCAUCCUGGACCGGCAUUGACGCUGAGGCGCGAAAGCCAGGGGAGCAAACGGG
rnacentral:rRNA from 1 species